UGGCAGGAUAAUUAUUGACCUGAGGAAUAAUAUGGAUUUAUGUGGUUGUGAAAAUAGACUUUGUGUUUGUGAGUGUGAAAAUGUUAGUGUGUGUGUGUGUGCCUGUGUGUGUGCGCGCGCGCACGCGCUGGGACCCCACUUGACAAGUUGACCUUGUCUAGAGGAGCAUAAGUGGAAAAAAACUGUGUAGCCCUGAGACAGUAGGAUGACGUUACGACCAAUGAGAACGGCCUGCAGGGGGCGCAAGGAUUCACUUCUCUCUUGGACACUGACGGGUCUCGACACGCAAAUUCUGCUCCUGGCGUUGGCCGUCAGUGGAAGAGCGUAGCUUCGGUGGGGUUCUGUCUGCCUCUGAUGGGGUGCGGAUGUGUGGUUCGUCACUGGUGAAUGGUGUUCGACGAUGCAGGUGGAUUUUGUGACGAGUGGGUUUAAAAUGAGGGAAUGCUGUGAACGGGAAAAAUGAUGGUGAGUGCCUUUUUCACUCUGUUCAAGUGUUUGUUUUCCUCUGUUGCCCAGCAGUCGUACGAUUUGUCCUGACGUGUCCUGAUAUGCCCCGAUAUGCAUGCUUUCCUUUGUUGACGCUUAGUAUUUUUUUCUUUUUUGACAAGGAACAUUGUCGUCUUGACGAUAGUGCUGCCCCGAGUUCUGCGCGCGUUGAUUUGUUGAGUGCCUAGUCCUCUUAUUAGCCAUUGAUGGAGUUACAUGUUAGGAUGUUUUGUUCUUUUGCAAGUCUCAUUUAGUAAGACUUUGGAAUUCCUACGAUCAGUUUUCAUGCAUGGUGCUCUUCUGCAAUAGUUUCCUAUGCAAUCGUUAUAGAAGAAUAAAGGAAAUAAUCUUGGGAUAGUGAUUCAAUAAAUAAUAGGUCCCCUGUCUAGAGCGCACGCGUCCUUGAGCCACGCAGGUGCAUGAUGACGUCAUACCGUGGCUUCACUGCUGAUUGACCAAAGGAGCAUUAGUGGAAAAAAACAGUGUAGCCCUGAGACAAUAGGAUGAUGUCUGGACCAAUGAGAACUGCCAGCAGGGGGCGCAGGAAUGCUCUUCUCACUUAGCCUCACGACCAAUGAGAACGGCCAGCAGGGGGCGCAGGAAUGCUCUUCUCUCUUAGCCUCUCGCAGGUGGCGGUAGGAGCGCGCAGAGGGCGCUGCGAGCGCGCUCAUGCGUAGCACCCGUAGAGUGGCGCUUACGUCAGUCCACCUCUCGCUCUCGUUGGGAGAAGACGUGCGGUCGUUCGCUCCGUCGUCACUUGAUCCCUGGCUGUCGACGAGAGCAGUCGCAUCGGUCUGCGCUCCUACUGUGGUGAGGUGAUUUGUUGUGUAACUAAUGAUUUCGCCAACUUUGUUCCCGCUUUGUUUGCGAUUUUCGUGCCCGUGCACGUCGGGUGCUGGUUGCUGUUGUCCGGGCAUUCCCACCAUUUUCUAUCAUCUUCUGCCUUGGGACCGGGAGUAGCGCUGGCGUGAUUCUUAAUACUUUUGUUGUGAGAUUAGUUGAGAAAGUAACCGCUAGGGGGUGCAGCUGCGGGGUUUAUACAGGACAAAAACCCUUACGAGUCAGUUUCUGCCUGCCUCUCGGAUGGAGCAGUCGCAUGGUUCUGCGCUCCUGUUCUGGUGGGCUCAUUUGUUGUGUAACUAAUUGUUUUUUCUUGUUAGCUAUUGAUGGUUUGCAUACUCUUGCUUUCCCAGCCUCUGUAUUACGAGUGUUUUUCUCCUUGCAUGUCCAGAGCUGUCCUAACUUGCCCAGACAUGCCAUGAUGACGUCACAGCUGACGUCACAGGAUGUGCGGAACUGGUGCUGCGAUGCUUUGCAACCUGCCUCUGUGCUCCGUCGCCCAGCGACGGUCAGCGGCCGUUCCGGGCCGCUUUCUUCAAGAUGACGUCGUUGAUCUUCAACUAAACUCCUUCUCUCCACUCUAUCUCUAUCUUUUUAUUUUAUUUUCUACCUAUUUUUUAUUUUUUAUCAGCUCAACUAGCCCACAACUCACACAGUGGUCUGGACACGUCCUAGAUGCGCCCCAAUUAGUGUAAUGACUCCCUGAAUGAUCCUGAUUAAUGUGGGGGGUCCCAAUUAGCUCUAAUUGCUCAUUAAUGGCGUCCAGACGAAGAUGUGAGUUGUGGGCCAGUUGAGCUGAUCCCAUACUACUUGCCAUAUGGGACAUCGACGACGUCAGAAAUGUCCUGAACGGUUCUUUUACGGUCUUCAUGCAAAAGUUUCCCUAUCACAUCGGCAUUUGCGGGGUCUGUGUUCCCUUAUGGCCUCCGUGACCUGCCUUGUGUUUCCGACGAUGUUCUGCCUUUCUUGAGCGCGAGCGUUGCAAGACUCACUGUCUCAUUGCCAUAAGCAUGCUAGAUCAUCUCAAAUGUCUCUGUUGUAGAUUUGCCGAGUUUGACGUAGAAUUUGAUGUUUGCUAUCUGCUUUAGUUCGCAACUCAUAUUGAAGUCGCUACGCCUCCUGUGCACGUGAUCACAAAAACGUAGUGUGUAGUACAGCACUAGCGUAGUCAGAGGGGGUUUUGGGUGUUCAACCCCUCCCGAAAUGAUACCUUUGGCUGUGCAUUUGGGGAGGAAAACUAGGGGAAAUCCUGCUCUCCAAUAUAAAGACCAUAGAACCCCUCCCGAAAUAUUUUUCUGGCUACGCCGCUGUAGAACAGCAACAAAUAUUCAAAAAUGGAUGCCACUCGGCAUGAGAACAAACGAAAGUCAUUGACGUCAACAAGUGUGCUCUCAUCCCAGUGGUGCCAUCUCUCGUCGUUAUACUGAGCUGGCCUCGGAACUUUUUGAUCGCACCUUAUCUAUGAUGGGUGAAGCUUGGGCAACGAAGAGCCUCAGCUUCGACGUCUCGUCUGUGUUUUGUUUCUUCAAUUCCCUCACCGUUCUGUGUUCUGAUUGCUGAACGCGGAAGCCUUACGCCUUCUCUCUACCACUUUAGAACUUCACCGCGUGUUACAAAAGUGGCUUAAACCACAUGACAGAGCGACAGCGUUCUCAAUCCUAGUCGGUCUUGUGCGUUUUAGGACAUGCUAGUACUAUGAGGAAGUAGCAACACGAGGAGAGGUUAGGCAGACAAGCGCCAAGAAUAUUAGUUUCUAUGUGUGAACUAUUCAUGACCUCUGAACAGGUUAGUUGCUGGCGUUUAUUGUCGAGCGAUUUGUCUCAUGGUAUGUUGCUCAUGGGGAAGGGAUAAUGCGUCCUGGACUGACUUCACAGGAGAAUGUGCAACCAUUUGUCUUAAAGUGUCUGAGGAAAAUCCAAGGAACACGUUCAGACAGCACAGCGUAUGCCGGGAUAACAACGCUUGUCACCUCUCGGUUUCAGCAGGUCAGACGAUCAUCGUAUAGCCACCAGGUCACCGAAGGUCGUGAGGGCAGCGAGGACCACCUGCACUCAGUACCGAACCACUCUGAGUACUGGUGGCAUUUUCUUGAGGCUAUCGGCCAUACUAUGCUGAAUAAUCAGGUCCUCGCCAGAUCUGAAAUGGACCGGUCUGCGCUGCCGUACACGGUUGACCCUCAGUGACGCUUCCAAGUGUAUCCGUCGUUUCCCUGGGGAAGUGCGUCUUUUCCACAUGGGCUACGAGUGAAUGUACUGUUCAGCGGUCGAUUACUCUAUAAACUGCCCAAGUCUUCUACCAACUACAGCAAGUGUGAAGUCGUAGAGAAUACAGAGCAGUACGGCGGUAUUGUCGAUAGUUGAAACGUACUAGGAGCAAGCCUGGCUUGUAUGGACGCCCAAAUCUUCGACACCGUAAGGAUUCUGAGUCGUCAGCCAUCGCAUCAUAAGCGCCUGCUUUGGAAGCACACCAAUGUUUCCUUGACGAAAUCCAGGUAAUCGGUAUUCUGUGACUUUUCGUACUGAAGUGCAUCUAAUAACGCGACAGGUGCUCGUCGAGUGAACUGUGGCUUAUCCUGCCAACCGCCAGUUCGUUUCCUGUUUUCUCCUUUGUGUGUGCAUUUUUUUACCCAAAUCUAUAUAUAGAUGCUGUGCUCUAGGGUAUUGUAGUAUAGAUAUACUGGGGUAGCCAGACCGACCUUGUCGUCUUGUUUCUCUUCUGUCUUUCUCUCUACCGUCGUCAUUAUCAUAGACCAGCAAUAUUGCAUUUAUAAGUCUGAAAUCAGUGCGAUCAAAAGAGAGUAAGCACGAACAUUUUUUUUUUGUGGACCACGAAUAUUUUAUAAAGUAACAUACUAACAAGUAAAGCGAACCUCCACGCGAAAGCUGGCGCAUGACCUCAUACUUGUACAAGACGCGUUUCUUCCCAAUCUCGCUUCUGCCUUUCUCAUUACAUGAACACUCCAAAAAUGACACCUUCAAGGUAAAGCCACUACACGUAUACUUACAGCGUUCGUCCAUGUUUAAAUGUGGCUGCACCUCACACGUGGUCAUAUGUAUCUGCAGCUGGGUCAACGUCUCUGCUGGAGGACUGUUCCAUGAAUCUACGUCUGGCUGGCACCGUUGGCUUGGACAGUCUGGUAGGAAGAAGAGUUGUCUGUACCUCUUAAGCGCCUCCGCUAGUAUGUCGCAUUUUGAGACUUCGCUUGCCAGCCGAAACUUGAAGGUCGAAGAGUCAAUGAUAUAUUGACGAGCUGACGUCUUCAGGACCUGGGGCUUCGGCCAGACUGUUCCAGAGGAAGGGUCCUGCACAUGAAGUGGCUAUUCAGCGACGAACCUCAGGACCGCAACAAACGUCUACAUGCAGAAUACUCCGAUAGAACCUAAGAGCUGUAUUCACAGAGGUAUAUCUCCGUCUAGCCGGCAAUGUAGAGCACACAUUGUGAGGAGGAGCAUAACACGAGGAAGCAGACCCACGUGCUUCGUUGACGCGAAUAGUUUUACGUGUUUACUUUUAAUGCGUGCAAACGGGCUUGUUUUCGGAAGUCUUUUCCGGCGAGUGUUCUCCUCGCACAGAUAAACUAUGUAUUGUGUAGAAAAUAUUUGAA